AUAUCUUAAUUAGCCUCUUUGCUUAGCUAGCUUAUUAUAAUUUAUAUGUAUAUAUAUAUACAGAUUUGGCUCUGCAAUUGGUUGAAAGGUACCCUGACUUGGGCCAUCAUAAGAGGUUAGGUAACCAUGUAUCAGCUUUGGAUGCCAUAGUUAUUUAUGACUAUUCCAUUGUUAACAAACACAGUCUAAACUUUUGGCAAAGUUUCAUAUACUAUUGUGUUUCUAAGGUAGAGUCAACAACAUCUACACCAAUUUCCCACCUCAUCACCUCACUACUACAAUGGCUGGUAGAGAAGAGCAUAGUAAACAAAAUGGUGCUACACCACCAAGCUAUGAAGCUUCUUAAAUGCUUGUGCGAUCAACUCAAAACCCUAAAUGAUACACAAGUGACCUCACUCACAGAUAAUGCACUCCUUGAAGCAACGAGUUUAGACAUUUGGCAAGUCAUCUUAAAUGUUGCGGAAGCAUAUCCUUUGACGGUUUAUUUCGGAAACUCCAUGCGC